rnacentral:rRNA from 1 species
UAAGGCCUACGGGAGGCAGCAGUGGGGGAUAUUGCACAAUGGGGGAAACCCUGAUGCAGCGACGCCGCGUGGACGAAGAAGUAUUUCGGUAUGUAAAGUCCUAUCAGCAGGGAAGAAGAAAUGACGGUACCUGACUAAGAAGCCCCGGCUAACUACGUGCCAGCAGCCGCGGUAAUACGUAGGGGGCAAGCGUUAUCCGGAUUUACUGGGUGUAAAGGGAGCGCCGGCGG